UGAUAAACCAUGAAAGAGAAAGUAAAUAAAAAUCCAACAUUUUAGAGAAAAAAUCCUUGGCUGAAAGAUUUUAUGCUGGAAUUUAUUGAAGUUCACUCUGGAGUUUUAGCUGUGAAACCAUUUGUAAUGUUUAGCAGCUAACGUUAAUUGCGUUAAAAUUUUGAGUGAAUACAAAUUAGUAUUAAUUUAAGGUGGUACCGCGGAAUUAUUUCGUCCUUUUU
rnacentral:ncRNA from 1 species